AUAAGCUAUAACUUAUUAUUGUUAAUUGAAGAGUAGCAUAAAUAGAAGCUGAUCCAUGACGAUCAUCGACAGCGAUCUGGCUGGCGUGACCUACCCGCGAUGCCCACGACGGUGAUAAUGCCUAUGUUUUUUGUGAACUCAACAACAGCAACUGCCAGCAACAAGGACAUAUUAUCACAGAUUUUUACUCGGAGCAACCGCUUGCAUUAAUUUACGUUUAUCCCGAUUGAAAGCACCCUAUCAAAAUCCACUACAAAACCAUCCCAUUUUCGGAUUCCAUGACAAACGUAUUGGGAAUUGUAUGGGAAUAGCCGGAGGCCCGGCCGGAGGCAAAAACAUCUUGACUGAGGAGCAUGAAUUACGUCGCAAUCAAACAACUCCAAUGAGUUCGAAAUGGUGCUCCAGCGACAAUCGAGCCGAAUGAAAAUGUUCGUUAAUCAUCGCCGAUUAGAAGAGAAGAAGCGUGCCGUCCCAAUAGAAAAGGAAACAAGCAAUAAGGACACAUACUUCCGAUUUAAUCCUUCAAUCGAUGUUAAAGUGCCGAGACCUUGCAUGUAAAUUGGUCAUAAUCUCCGUAAAGAUCAUUCUGAGUAAUGAUUGACAUAGCUUAGUUUAAAAUCUUUUGUUUUAUUAUUAUAUAAUUUUAAAAUAAUAUAUAUAAUAUUAAAAUAUAACUUUAUAUAAAUAUAAAAAACACCAUACGUUUGAUUAA